rnacentral:misc_RNA from 1 species
GCGUCAGCGCUUCCGAGCACGACUGACUCGCACCUACCUGUGAUUCGAUUAUAUUCAAACUUUCGUGCACGCGAGUGUGUGUGUCGUAAUGUAUAUAGAGUACACUGUGUAGUGUGCGACGACGUGCGCGUGUAUGUUUAUCCGUGUGUACGUGUAUAAAUAUACACCUAUAUAAUAAUAACACGCCGCUCGGGACUCGCGGGCUUCGACGACAUCUCUCGCGCUAGCCUGGCACAUAUAUUAGUGCUCUCCGUGGCUGGCCGCUGCGACUCUCCGUACUCGCUGUGCAAUAUUAGUAGUGCGGCUCUGGGCGUUGUAAGCUACUACACUGGCAGGCAGCGUACACGACCCAUCAUACUCGGAAAAAUAAGCGUCGCGACACCCUCUCGGCACACGACAGUCUCAUCGCGACGUUUCGAGCCCCCGACUUACGCGGCUCGAUCAUUUUUCGCUGUUUAUGGCCCAGUCAAAAAAACCAAGUAUUAGCUGAUAAACUGAAAACAUGGAUAUCGCUAAGGAUGAAGACCGGCGCAGACGCCUUCAGGCUCUGGAAGAGCGUAUCAAAGAUCCAAGAAGCAUUACAAAUAUUGACUGCUUACUGGAUACUGUUCAAGCUCUUGUGGCAGACUGUAAUCAUGAUACAGUUAAACGCAUGAAAAACAUCGAAGCUUACACAAAUAGAUAUAAUGCAGUUGCUAAUGAUAUUAUUAGCUUACGAAUGAGGUAUGACGAUUUUAAAAUGCUUAAAGUCAUUGGAAGAGGAGCUUUUGGCGAAGUGCAGUUAGUGAGGCAUAAAUCAACAAAAAAAGUUUAUGCAAUGAAACUGCUAAGUAAAUUUGAAAUGAUCAAAAGAUCUGAUUCUGCCUUUUUUUGGGAAGAACGUGACAUCAUGGCGCACGCAAAUUCUGAAUGGAUAGUACAGCUACAUUUUGCUUUUCAAGAUAAAAAGUACUUGUACAUGGUGAUGGAUUAUAUGCCUGGUGGUGACUUAGUAAACUUAAUGUCACAGUACGACGUUCCAGAAAAGUGGGCUAAAUUUUAUUGCGCGGAAGUGGUGCUUGCCCUCGAUGCGAUUCAUAAUAUGGGAUUCGUGCAUCGUGACAUAAAACCGGACAAUAUGCUACUCGAUAAACAUGGUCAUUUGAAAUUAGCGGAUUUUGGGACUUGCAUGAGAAUGGGAGAAGAUGGGCAAAUUCGAUCGGAUAUAGCAGUUGGAACUCCAGACUACAUAGCACCCGAAGUUUUGCAGUCUCAAAGUGGUGACAGUGUAUACGGUCGAGAAUGUGACUGGUGGUCCGUUGGCGUUUUCCUGUAUGAAAUGCUAGUCGGAGAUACACCUUUUUACGCAGAUUCUCUCGUUGGCACUUACUCAAAAAUAAUGGAUUUCCGAAACAGCUUACACUUUCCCCCUGAAGUAGAUAUUUCUCAUCAUGCCAGGACAUUAAUAUGUUCUUUUUUGACCGAUCGAACUGAGCGCAUCGGCCGAACCAAUGUCGAUGAUAUAAAAAGGCAUCCAUUUUUCCAAAACGACCAAUGGACCUUUGAAAACCUUCGUGAAAGCGUGCCACCUGUUGUUCCUGAACUAACUGGAGAUGACGAUUCAAGUAAUUUUGACGAUGUUGAAAAGGAGGAUGGUCCAGAAGAGAAUUUUCCGACUCCAAAAGCAUUUUGUGGAAAUCAUUUGCCAUUCAUUGGUUUUACAUAUUCAGGAGAUCAGUUAUUACUUUCCAACCCUAUUUACUAUUCUGACGUGCGGAUGGCAGGUCGAGAAGCUGUGGAUGGUUUAGAAAAUCACGUCAAUAAUGGAACUUGCGAGGAUGUGAAGGUUAAUGAACUUGAGUGCCUUCUCGAUAAGGAGCGUCAAAUGGUUGAAGAGUUGGAAUCGAAAUACCAAACUCUUCUUAACCAACUCGCAGCUCUCUCAGAAACUGAAUCUCAACUACGUGAGGAAGCAUCUCGCGCGGAUACAGAGCUUAGCAUUGUGCGUCGCAAUUGCAGGGAAUCUGCUCGUCGAAUCGAACAAGAGAUGGAAUUGCGUCGAAAAGCUGAGCAGUCACUAAACGAAUUAAAGAAAAAAUUCGACGAGGAACAAACUAAACGCGCGAGAGAUGCUAGCUCGAGUCAAGCAUCGACGGAAAAAAUUUCGAAUUUAGAAAAACAAGUGAAAGAACUUCAAUCUAAAUUAGAAAGAGAAACCGAAAUGAUUACAAGGUUACGGAAACAAGCUGCAGAAAUCACUGUGGCUAGACAAACAGCUGAACAAUUGGCUACUGAGUUGCAAUUAUCUAGGUCACAACUGCAAUCUCAGAGGGACGCCUUGCAACAAGAUGUGGCAAAUUUACAAGGUCAACUUGCCAAAGAGCGGAGCUCACGUUCGCAGGCAUCAACAUUAACAACUGAACUUGAAAUGCGUUUAACAUCAUUACACAAUGAAUUGGAGCGAAGUAAAGAACGAGAGGAAAAAGUCACGAUCGAUAAUCGUUUACUCAACGAAAGGAUAUUAACGCUGGAAAAAGAAUCUGCAAGCUUAGCCCUCGAAUUGAAAGCUGCUCAGAAUAGAUAUAAUCAAGAAGUUGCGUCGCGCCAUGAAACUGAACGCUCUAGAUUAUCACCCAAAGAUGAAGCAAAUUUGGAAGACUUUAAAGCUCUUCAAACGAAAUUAAAUGAAGAAAAAAAUGGUCGUCAACGAGCCGAGCUUCUAGCGCAAGAAAAAGAACGGCAAACAUCCAUGUUAUCUGUAGAUUACCGCCAAAUACAACAGAGACUUCAAAAACUCGAGGGAGAAUAUCGCCAAGAAGCUGAAAAAGUAAAGGUAUUGCAAGGUCAAAUUGAGCAGGAGCAAAAAAAACGUAACGUCUUGCAAUCUGAACUAGCUCAACAGUCGUCAGAAGCGAGUAGGUUAAAAGAAAGAGAACAUCAGUUAGCAGGUGAAGUGACGCAGCUUAGAGAAUCGAAAAGGAAACUUGAAGAAGAAGUCCGACAACUGAUACAGCAAAAAAAUAUUGACAAAUUACAGAUCAAAGACCUGCAAGAAGAAGCUAAACACGAAGGUUACUUUGCCUCACUUUACAAAAAAGAAGUUGGACAUGUAAGAGACGAAUUAGAAGAAAAGUUACAACAACAAAAAACCGAGUUUGAAGAAGAACUUAAUUCAUACAUUCGUCAAUUACAAGUGGCUCUUGCAAGAGCUGACACUCAAGCUUUGCAACGUUCCAUUGCUGAGGAAACUGUAUCUGAUCUUGAAAAAGAACGUGUUAUGAAAGAUCUCGAGCACAAAGAGGCCACUGCCAAACUUCAUGUAGACAUUGGUUGCAAAGACCAAAUGAUCACUCGGUUGAAAGAGACCGAAUCUAAUCUUAAAAAGGACUGCGAACAGAUCGCUAAUGAAAGGGAUGAUUUAUCAAAGCGCAUAGUAGAUUUAAAUGAAGAAAUAGCAAAGUUGAAGGACAGUGGCGAGAUCGCAAAACUGAAUGCUAAAAUUAAAUCUGAAGAAGUACUGAAACAACAAGCCAUUAACAAAUUAUCUGAAGUGCUAUUUCGUAAAGAUAAUUCUCACGGCAAGACAAAGGAUAAAGCUUCAUCCGCUGAUCUUAAGAAAAAAGAAAAGGAUUGUCGCAGAUUACAACAAGAGCUUACGGCUGAACGCGAAAAAUACGGCCAAUUGUCUGCAAAGAUGCAAAAAGACAUUCAAGAUUUGCAAGCACAAUUGGUUGAAGAAAAUCAGUGUAAAUUAAAGCUUCAAAUGGAGCUGGAUUCCAAAGAUUCUGAAAUCGAGACUCUUCAGGCGAAAAUCCAACAAAUGAACUCGGAAACGGCGAGUGUGUCGUCUGUUGAAAAUGAAGGUGAAGAUGAGCAUGGCGUUAUGCGACUCGAAGGCUGGCUCAGUAUUCCAAAUAAGCAAAAUAUCAAGCGUCACGGCUGGAAGAAGCAAUACGUGGUCGUAUCAUCCAAAAAGAUUAUUUUCUAUAACAGCGAAAGCGACAAAAUUAACGCCGAUCCGGUGCUCAUACUUGAUCUCAGUAAAGUCUUUCACGUGAGAUCUGUUACGCAGGGUGAUGUGAUUCGAGCUGAUGCCAAAGAUAUUCCUAGGAUAUUUCAGUUACUUUAUGCUGGAGAAGGUGAAGCAAGAAGACCCGACGAGGCUGCUGCGCUGCCUGUACCUGACAUGACGCAGAGCGACAAACCUGGAACACAACCAGUUAAGGGACACGAGUUCAUCUCUAUUUCUUUCCACAUGCCUACAACUUGUGAAAUUUGCUCAAAACAGCUAUGGCAUAUGUUCAGACCUCCACCAGCUCUUGAAUGUCGACGAUGUCACAUAAAGGUGCACAAAGAGCACUUGGAAAAGAAAGAAGAUUCAAUAGCGCCAUGUAAAUUGCACUAUGAUCCAAACAGUGCACGUGAAAUGCUUGUAUUGGCUGGCAGUACUGAUGAUCAAAAAUAUUGGGUUACACGUUUAUCCAGGCGCAUUCAAAAAUGCGGCUAUAAGGCAAAUUCACACAUCGACGGAAACUCCGGCGGUUCUGGUCAGCGUAUCUCGCCAAGGUAGAUUAGCGAACUAAUGCAUGGUUACGGGGAGUGAGAAAGGUUUUUUAGAUGGUAGAUUUUAUCAAUUACCUAUAGAGUCGACGAGGUCCACACUCAAGCCGUACCUGUCGGCACAUCAAAGGUCAGCCACUUUACCUGCGAAUGCGAGCAUGGGCAAGUGAU